rnacentral:misc_RNA from 1 species
CUAACCCUAUCCUCUGCUCGCCAAACCACGGUUCACGACAUAGCCAAAAAGUUGAAGCUCCAGGACAACCAACUUCUGCGAACGGAGAAGAAGUUCAAUGUCUUCAUGGAGAACUACGGGAAGAAGUACUCCACCAGGGAAGAGUAUUUACAGCGUUUGGAGAUUUUCGCCGGAAACAUGCUGAGAGCCCCGGAGAACCAGGCGCUCGACCCCACCGCCAUCCAUGGCGUCACGCAGUUCUCCGAUCUAACCGAGGACGAGUUUCAACGGCACUACACCGGUGUCAAUGGCGGCUUCCCGUGGAACAAUGGCGUCAGAGAUGUGGCACCGCCGUUGAAGGUGGAUGGA